UAAUACUAGAGUAGAAAUGUUUUACAAACAAUUCUCAGAAACACGUAACCACUUGAUAGUUCAAAAGACGAUGUCAAGUCAUUAUGCCAUUAUGUCAUUAUGCAUGGC